rnacentral:lncRNA from 10 species
GGAGGGGCCCCACCAAGCAACAGUAUGAAGAUGUAAUCAAGGGCCAGAUAAUGAAUGGCAGUUUAAGUACCAUUGAGGUGUUAGUGAUUUAUCCUGGAGGGAGGCAUCAAAAGGUUUCAAAACAGGAAAACAGCAUGAUCUGUUGCUUUUGUACUAUUGGUUUUGGCAGCAAUGUAGAGGAUGGAAUGGAAGCUUGUGAGACUAGGGCAAAAAGAACUAAGAAAACAGCACGAUAAUAUAGAAAAAAAAACAAGGAACAGUGUUAAUAGAGGGCCAUCCAAUUGAAUGUAUGAGGUGGAGGAAGGUGAGAAUGGAAACUAAGGUGAUGUGCUGGGUGGGGAGGGGCCAAGAAAGAGGAUACAGGAAGAGAGUGCUUUGCAGGAAAACGUUUGUUUCACUUUCAAUUUGUUGCCUUCAAAAUAUUCAGAACAUGUUGCUCUGGAGCUCAGGAGAGAAGGUGAAGUAAAGAUCUGAAUUCGGCAACUCGGAAGCGAAGCUCCAAUCUUGAGGAUGGAUCAGAUUGGUGAGGGAGACUGUCAUAUAGAGUGAGAAGAGAGAUCCAAGGACAGAACUGCAGGAAGCAUCAAUAUUUGAGGAAUGAGAAAGGAAGAAAAGCCUCCCACAAAAGAGAUGAGACAAGAGGAAUGGUUACACAGGUAGGAAGAGAAGCAGAGAUGAAUGGUGUCCUCUUUAUAUUUCAAUCACCUGAACUCAUUACUCAUUAUUGCCUGCGAAUAUCAGGUGCUUCACUGUUUCUCAGCUUUUACUCAUACCUUUCAUCUUUUCAAAAGGAGUUUUAAAAUCCUACUCACUUUUCAGAGUCUUAGUGGAAUACCAGGUCUUUCGUCAGAACUUUCCUGACUGUUAUCACGAUCUUUCUUCCUCACAUUGUCCUAGUAACCCCAGCAUCAUGAAAUUGAAUACAAUUACAUUAUUUAAGACAGUCUUUCAACAACUUUUUGGUCUCAGGAACCCUUGACAUUCUUAAAAAUGAUUGAGGAUUGACCAGUCUGACCAACACGGAGAAACCCCGUCUCUACUAAAAAUACAAAAUUAGCCUGGCGUGGUGGUGCAUGCCUAUAAUCCCAGCUACUUGGGAGGCUGAGGCAGGAGAAUCGCUUGAACCUGGGAGGCAGAGGUUGCGGUGAGCCGAGAUUGCACCAUUGCACUCCAGCCUGGGCAACAAGAGCAAAACUCCAUCUCAAAAAAAAACAAAAAACAAAAACGAAGAUUGAGGAUCCCAAAGAGUUUUGUGCUUUUGCUUAUAUAAGAUAUAGCUAUCGAUAUUAUGGAAUAAAACAAUUAAAACUCAUUGUUACAAUAUUUAUUAACUUAUUUAAAAUAGCAAUAAUGUCAUUGCAUGUCAAUGUAAGUAACAUUUUGAUUAAAAAUACUGUAUUUUUUAAAACAGAAAAAUGUAGUGAGAAUAGUGGCAUUAUUUUACAUUUUUUCAAAUCUCUUUAAUGUCUUGCUUAAUAGAACACAGCUGGAUUAUCAUAACCACCUCUAUAUUCAAUCUAUUGUGAUGUACCAUUUUGGUGGAAGUAUGGAAAAAAAAUCCACUCUCAUACAGGGAUGUAGUUGGUGGGGGAAAGGGCAUAUUUUAAUAGUCUUUUCAGAAAACUGUGGAUAUUCUUUGAUACCACACCAAAACUCAGCAAGAGUUUUUUUUUUCCCUAGAGGUUAAUUGCAAUGUGGAAUCUGAAACCAUAGCAAGAAAGUUUUCUAACUGUUAUAUUAAAAUUCAUUGGUCUA